AACGUAGGAGACGAACGUUAUCCGGAGUUACUGGGCGUAAAGGGCGUGCAGGCGGUCUGAUAAGUUCGGCGUGAAAUAUUCCGGCUUAACCGGGAUAGGUCGUCGGAGACUGUCGGACUAGAGGGUGAUAGAGGCGUGUGGAAUUCCGGGUGUAGUGGUGAAAUGCGUAGAGAUCCGGAGGAACACCAGUGGCGAAGGCGACACGCUGGGUCACACCUGACGCUAAAGCGCGACAGCAUGGGGGCGCAGGAAGGUAUA
rnacentral:rRNA from 1 species